rnacentral:rRNA from 1 species
AUUGAACGCUGGCGGCAGGCUUAACACAUGCAAGUCGAGCGAGCGGCGGACGGGUGAGUAAUGUCUGGGAAACUGCCUGAUGGAGGGGGAUAACUACUGGAAACGGUAGCUAAUACCGCAUACCAUCAGAUGUGCCCAGAUGGGAUUAGCUAGUAGGUGGGGUAAUGGCUCACCUAGGCGACGAUCCCUAGCUGGGCGGAGAGGAUGACCAGCCACAAUGGAACUGAGACACGGUCCAAACCCCUCCGAGAGGCAGCAUGGGGGAAUAUUGAAAAAUGGGCGCAAGCCUGAUGCAGCCAUGCCGGGUGGGUGAAGAAGCCCUUCGGGUUGGAAAGCACUUUCAGCGAGUAGGCGUUACCCGCAGAAGAAGCACCGGCUAACUCCGUGCCAGCAGCCGCGGUAAUUC